rnacentral:rRNA from 1 species
CCCUUAGAUGUUCUGGGCCGCACGCGCGCUACACUGAUUCAUGCAACAAGUUUUGUCCUUGGCUGAUAGGCCUGGGUAAUCUUUGAACGUGAAUCGUGAUGGGGAUAGAUGAUUGCAAUUAUUCAUCUUCAACGAGGAAUUCCUAGUAAACGCAAGUCAUCAGCUUGCAUUGAUUACGUCCCCGCCCUUUGUACACACCGCCCGUCGCACCUACCGAUUGAAUGGUCCGGUGAAAUCUUCGGAUCUGAGAGAUGUCUGAUUAAUUUCGGACGCCUUUUGGAAAAGUUGUUUAAACCUUACCAUUUAGAGGAAGGUGAAGUCGUANCA